UACGUAGGGUGCAAGCGUUGUCCGGAAUUAUUGGGCGUAAAGAGCUCGUAGGCGGUUUGUCGCGUCGGCUGUGAAAGCCCGGAGCUCAACUCCGGGUCUGCAGUCGAUACGGGCAGACUUGAGUGUUGCAGGGGAGACUGGAAUUCCUGGUGUAGCGGUGAAAUGCGCAGAUAUCAGGAGGAACACCGGUGGCGAAGGCGGGUCUCUGGGCAACACUGACGCUGAGGAGCGAAAGCGUGGGGAGCGAACAGG
rnacentral:rRNA from 1 species